AGCUUUUCGGAUUGUGUUGAGAUUUCAUCAGAAACCAACCCAUUAUGGCUGAUCAGACUUUCAAGAUAAGUAAAGUU
rfam:Schistosoma haematobium scaffold163_57, whole genome shotgun sequence.